GCUGGUCCUGGCUGGCCACAGGGAGGAGGUGACAGAUGUGGCAGGGAUGGAGUCAGUGGCCAAGAGAGGUGGGAGCAAACCAGGGGGAGCUUCUGCCUGGGAGCAUUUCCUGGGUGAAGGGAUCACUGGAGAGGUUUGAGGGGAGUCUGGCAUGAAAUCCUCCUCCCUCCCCAAGCUCCAGCCAAAAGGAAAACCCAAGUUUUGCUCAGCGCUGAGAGCCCGUGCAGGAUUCCCUCCCCACCUCAGAACCCCCCAUGUCUUUCCCAGUGCUCACUGAAGCCCAUCCUGCCACUGUGCCAGCCCAGCCCUCACUCAGCAGAGCAGACACCUGGAGCCCUGGUGCCCUGUGCCCAGCCCAGGGUGGCACAGGCACCCACCUUCCCCUUCCACACCCCCAGCCUGAGCCCUCCCCGGGCUCACCCACAUUUCACCGAUAACCAGGUGUGAAGGUGGAAAAGCUUUUUAAAGCUCCUGAAAUUAAGGAACAUGAGGGGGCUUCGAUAGGUUUUGGAAUAAAUUGCCCAUGAAAGUGCUGGGGAAAAACUAUCUAGGGAAAAAAAGAGAGAAGGAGGGUGAGAUAAUGAUAUAUCUAGGAAGUCGGGAAGAGGAGAGAUCAGGAAGCAACUGGCUGAUUGUUCCAUAAGCACCUCUUAAAAGCAAACACAAUAGACAUGAGCAGUUUUUAAAAUGACAGACAAUACAAUGGGAGAUAAUAUAUUUAAAACCCAUAUCAGUUGUUAACAGACCAUAAAAACGCCGGUACAUUAAUCUGUGCUGUCUGUCACAGACUCAUGAAGCAGCUGUGUUAUUUUAUAGUAUCAUUCCUGCGGGCUUCUCUGACACUUCCACAAAUACAUCUCAAUUUAUUUGGGUAAGAACAAAUAGAAAUAUUGAAUUCUUCUCACUCUGCUUCUUCUGCUUCUCUAUUCCCGCCCCCCAGCCCCAACAACUUGAGGGAGACACUUGGUACAGCUUUGACAGUGAAUUUUAUCUGCCCAAGUGAUUGGUUUAACAGAAAUGCUCUGCAGACCCACAGCCAUCCCACAAACUCACUGGAGAUGCUCCCAGCCCUUCCCUGCUCCCUGGCACAGCCCAGGAGAGAGGGGAGCUCUGGCCUCCACAGCAAAUGUUGAACAUGAAUUAUUCCAGGCAGUGACACGUGGAAGGAGAGCACCCACCCAGCAGCCCCCACGGGUGAGAGGUACCUGGAGCUCAUCACCUCCCAUUUGGAUGUGGCCCCAUCAGGAGAGCACUGGUCAUAUCUCCAUCACUGCCCUGGGAGAGGGAAAACCUUCUGCAAAAAGCCACUGGAUCCCAGUAGCACAGCAGAGCUGGGUUCCAGCCCUUCCUCUGUGCCCUGCCCCACAGGAGGAAGAACACACCUGGAGAAGGAUUGCCAUCCACCCUGCCAAACCAACACAAUGCCCUCCCUUUGCUCAGAAAAAUCUACAAAUAAUCAUCAGUCAAUCCCACAGAACGGAAACAGUGAAACAGUGCUGCUGGCCCUGGGCCUGGAUUCCCAGCCCGAGCCUGUCCCUGCUAUUCCAGCUCUCAGAGCUGUCACUCAGCUGCAGUUUCCCACUCUGGGAGCUGCGAAUCCUCUGCCACUGUCAGGAUAUCAUUAACCUUUGCUUGGAUUUAAACGGGCUCUUCCUGCCAGGCAGAGCUGUGCAGUCAUUCCCUCCCAGCCUCCUUCCCUCCUGCAGCUUUGGGCAGCUCUGGCUCGGUCUCAUUGGGAUGUGGAGCCCAUGGCCACACCUGUGCACACCUGUCCCAGCCCUUGGGACAUCCCAUGGUGUCCCUGGACUGUCUCCAGCAGCUCCUUCCUGUGUUGGGGACACAUUGACUGGGACUUUGCCCGAGGGAUCGAGGGACAGCACACAGGGGAUGGCUGCCAGGGCCACAGGGCAGGGAUGGAUGGGAUUUUGGG